rnacentral:rRNA from 1 species
CAGUAGCCGCGGGAAUACGAAGGGUGCAAGCGUUAAUCGGAAUUAUUGGGCGUAAAGAGCUCGUAGGCGGUUUGUCGCGUCUGCUGUGAAAACUGGAGGCUCAACCUCCAGCCUGCAGUGGGUACGGGCAGACUAGAGUGCGGUAGGGGAGAUUGGAAUUCCUGGUGUAGCGGUGGAAUGCGCAGAUAUCAGGAGGAACACCGAUGGCGAAGGCAGAUCUCUGGGCCGUGACUGACGCUGAGGAGCGAAAGCGUGGGGAGCGAACAGGAUUAGAUACCCCCGUAGUCCCUGUCUCUUAUAU